GAGGGUUUAUCUCUGUGGUAGAGUGUGUGCUCAGUAAGCACAAGGUCCUGGGUUCUAUCCCCAGUACCUCCA
rnacentral:tRNA from 1 species